UGGAUUAAUUAACUAAACCAGACAUGUAAAUGAAUGAAGUCAUUUCUCUCAUCGCCUCAUGUAAGGAAUGUAAAGAGUACAAUAAAUAAUCAGGUUUUUUUUUUUUUUAUACAUCAGUUGUUUACUACUGAUCAGUAAACAUCACUGAAGGGGGGAAAAACAUCAUUUUUAGCUUUAACAAUGAAUUUAAGCGUUUAUGUUUACUAAUGUGCUGUCAGAAGUAUUUUUCAAAGGAGAAAAUAAAAUGUUCUUAAGAUUUAAACCCUGAUAUUCUUCAGAGAGAAAAAGUUUUCUCUGAUUGGAUGUUGUAUUGUGUUGCAGUGAGGCGACGUGCUGCCACCGUGUGGUCAGAGACGGAAACUGCACUCGAACUCUUUCUGAAGAGGCCAUGAGCAUCGAGGGAACGUCCCGGAAAACAGGAGUGAAAUUGGAGGUCCAGGCUGCGGGCGAUGAAGGCGUACGUAUCUGCCACUUCCUGGAUCACCUUGCUGGUGGGUUUUCCCGCCCCGUGGCCCGACUUCGUGUCCACGUAGAUGAAGAGAGGGUUUGAUUGGCCG